AGUGUGAUUGCUAGGUCAUAUGGUAAGAAAAUAUUUAGUUUUAUAGGAAACUGCCAAAGUUUCUUCCAAAGUAGCUGUACCAUUUUGCAUUCCCACCAGCAAU
rnacentral:pre_miRNA from 1 species